rnacentral:rRNA from 1 species
AGUUGAUCCUGGCUCAGAUUGAACGCUUGCCGCAGGCCUAAACACAUGUUAGUCGAGCGGAUGAUGNAGGAGCUCNGCUCCUUGUAUUUAGCGGCGGACGGGUGAGUAAUGCCUAGGAAAUCUGCCUGGUAGUGGGGGAUAACGUCCGGGAAACGGGCGCUAAUACCGCAUACGUCCUACGGGAGAAAGCAGGGGACCUUCGGGCCUUGCGCUAUCAGAUGAGCCUAGGUCGGAUUAGCUAGUUGGUGAGGUAAUGGCUCACCAAGGCGACGAUCCGUAACUGGUCUGAGAGGAUGAUCAGUCACACUGGAACUGAGACACGGUCCAGACUCCUACGGGAGGCAGCCAGUGGGGAAUAUUUGGAACCAAUGGGCGAAAGCCUUGAUUCCCAGGCCAUUGCCCGGCCGUUGUUGUUGAAGAAGGGUCCUUCCGGAUUGUUAAGNCACUUUAAGUUGGGAAGAAGGGNCAUUAAGGUUAAUUAACUUGGUUGGUUUGGACGUUCCCGACGGAAUUAGCACGGGUUAAUUUCGUGCCAGCAGCGU